UACGUAGGGUGCGAGCGUUGUCCGGAAUUAUUGGGCGUAAAGAGCUCGUAGGCGGUCUGUCGCGUCGGUCGUGAAAACUUGGGGCUUAACCCUGAGCUUGCGGUCGAUACGGGCAUGGACUGGAGUUCGGCAGGGGAGACUGGAAUUCCUGGUGUAGCGGUGAAAUGCGCAGAUAUCAGGAGGAACACCGGUGGCGAAGGCGGGUCUCUGGGCCGAUACUGACGCUGAGGAGCGAAAGCGUGGGGAGCAAACAGG
rnacentral:rRNA from 1 species